AGUGAACGCUGGCGGUAGGCCUAACACAUGCAAGUCGAACGGCAGCACAGUAAGAGCUUGCUCUUACGGGUGGCGAGUGGCGGACGGGUGAGGAAUACAUCGGAAUCUACUUUUUCGUGGGGGAUAACGUAGGGAAACUUACGCUAAUACCGCAUACGACCUACGGGUGAAAGCAGGGGAUCUUCGGACCUUGCGCGAUUGAAUGAGCCGAUGUCGGAUUAGCUAGUUGGCGGGGUAAAGGCCCACCAAGGCGACGAUCCGUAGCUGGUCUGAGAGGAUGAUCAGCCACACUGGAACUGAGACACGGUCCAGACUCCUACGGGAGGUAGCAGUGGGGAAUAUUGGACAAUGGGCGCAAGCCUGAUCCAGCCAUACCGCGUGGGUGAAGAAGGCCUUCGGGUUGUAAAGCCCUUUUGUUGGGAAAGAAAAGCAGCAGGUUAAUACCCCGCCGUUCUGACGGUACCCAAAGAAUAAGCACCGGCUAACUUCGUG
rnacentral:rRNA from 1 species